AUGCACAGAUGCACGACUUCAUCCAUUCAGGAAGUUGAAAGAGAGAGAGAGAAGAGGCAUAAGGAUGAGGUGGCCUGGCAGGCGGUAAAGGACGGAAGGAUUUUCCACCUGUGGCCCAGGGCCAGCCAGCGACAUCUGCCACGUUCAGGAGCACAGACACACAGAGAAGUACCAGGCAGGACACACAGCAUGGCACUCGCUGCUGCUCAACCUGCGAGUGCUUUGGUGCAGCCUGUGCCGCUCCUUACUCCCUGGUGGAUCAGGAAGGUCUCAGAUGGCAGAUUGCCUGGUGUGCGAUGGGACAGACAGGGCCGUGGUACAAGUAACUUUCUGAUUCUGCAAUGACUGGCAGAGUUUCCUCUUCUGACCUACGUGUUGACUCAAGAAACUUCAUUCUGUGUCUACAAUUUGUCUGAAAAAUAUUCUUACAGUUUCGAUUUAUUUCAUAGAAGAGCUGAAGGGGGACGUGGGAAGCUGUGUGGCUGGGUCUGGGAGGAACACACCUUGCUUCAGUCUACUCUAUUUUCUUUUUUCCUGAAAAAGCAUUAAGCCCUGCACUGAGACAAAUGUUCCUGUUGCAUGUUUCACAGUAAUUUAAAAUCAAUCUUUAAAUUCUCACAUUGUACAGUGUACGUGAGGAUUCUGUCUUCUUCCUCCAUCUUUUCC
rnacentral:lncRNA from 1 species